AUGUUUUAUUUCAGAAUGGCGUCCAAAGGAAUGGGAGUUCUCCUUCUGCUCGGGAUUUUUGCUGUGACUGUCUCCCAGAUGUCUGCUUUUCCCACACCUGCCGAGGAUGAUAAAGCUGUAGUUUACAACAGACGACUGACUGAGGAGAGACCAAUCCAGGAGCAGAUUGCAGAGGCAGAUGAUGUGAAAGCAGCAGUGGAGUCUGCAGGUAAGUGGAGACUUCUCAGGCAAUCAAUCAAUUUGUUAUCAUACAUUUGAAUAUGGUGUGAUAGUGUGG
rnacentral:lncRNA from 1 species